rnacentral:rRNA from 1 species
AGAGUUUGAUCAUGGCUCAGAACGAACGCUGGCGGCAUGCUUAACACAUGCAAGUCGAACGCUCCGCAAGGAGAGUGGCGCACGGGUGAGUAACGCGUGGGAACCUGCCUCUUGGUUUGGAAUAACUGCGGGAAACUGCAGCUAAUACCGGAUACGUCGGGUUGAUGUGGUGUUGGCCCGGGAAAGAUUUAUCGCCGAGA